GAUGAAGAACGCAGCGAAAUGCGAUACGUAGUGUGAAUUGCAGAAUUCAGUGAAUCAUCGAAUCUUUGAACGCACAUUGCACCUCUCGGUAUUCCGGGAGGUAUGCCUGUUCGAGCGUCAUUUGUACCCUCAAGCUCUGCUUGGUGUUGGGUGUUUGUUCCGCCUCUGUGUGUGAACUCGCCUCAAAACAAUUGGCAGCCGGCGUACUUGUUUCGGAGCGCAGCACAUUUUGCGAUCCAGAUCAACGUACAGCGGCAUCCAAGAAGCCUUAUUUAACGCUCUUGACCUCGGAUCAGGUAGGGAUACCCGCUGAACUUAAGCAUUUCAAUAAGCGGAGGA
rnacentral:misc_RNA from 1 species